AUACGGAGGGUGCAAGCGUUACUCGGAAUCACUGGGCGUAAAGCGCGCGCAGGCGGCUUGAUAAGUUGGAUGUGAAAGCCUACGGCUCAACCGUAGAACUGCAUCCAAAACUGUCAGGCUAGAGUGUGAGAGAGGAAAAUGGAAUUAGUUGUGUAGGGGUAAAAUCCGUAGAGAUAACUAGGAAUACCAAAAGCGAAGGCAAUCUUCUGGAACACUACUGACGCUGAGGCGCGAAGGCGUGGGGAGCAAACAGAAUUAGAAACCCCGGUAGUCC
rnacentral:rRNA from 1 species